CUGAAUCUGAAUCCACAUCUGAAUCCACAGUAGGUCUACACUCUGAACCCGCAGUGAGUCUACACUGAAUCCACAGUAGGUCUACACUGUGACUCCACGAGUCUACACUGAAUCCACAGGAGGUCUACACUCUGAACCCGCAGUGAGUCUAUACUGAACCCACAGGAGGUCUACACUGUGAAUCCGCAGGGAGUCUACACUGAAUCCACAGGAGGUCUACAGUCUGAA